GAUAAAUCCAUACCAGGUAAUCUGUCUGCUCUCGCUUGUUGAACGUUCUCCUGCAACGGCAGGAUUUUUAUGCUCGGUUAUGAGCGGCUUGGGGAGUGGGAUGGAGAGUUUGACAUCUGCACAGCCUGGCCAGCCGGUUAGUUAUUUAAAUAUGUGGGGGUUGUUUGAGCCCUAUCAGCAUCAACUAGUUACUAGUAACUUCAACUCGCUGUGGGAUGCAAAGAACAGUAUUCGCUCCAAUGAUCCCCUGGACAACCAUUUGCUAAUAUUGAAUGGUAGAAAGCUGGAGGGAGUGAGGAGAUGUUGCACCAAUUUCCUUUUGUGCAAGCAGCCAAGUUUCCUGUCGAGGGAAUGCGCUCCGGUUGUGGCUAAAAGGAAUUGUUUAGUGAGGAAAGGCUCCGAAAGAGG
rnacentral:sRNA from 2 species